UACGGGGGGGGGCAAGCGUUGUUCGGAAUUACUGGGCGUAAAGGGCGCGUAGGCGGCUUGGCAAGUGGAUGGUGAAAUCCCUCGGCUUAACCGAGGAACUGCCGUCCAAACUGCUUCGCUUGAGACCGGGAGAGGUGAGUGGAAUUCCCAGUGUAGCGGUGAAAUGCGUAGAUAUUGGGAGGAACACCAGUGGCGAAGGCGGCUCACUGGACCGGUACUGACGCUGAUGCGCGAAAGCGUGGGGGAGCAAACGGG
rnacentral:rRNA from 1 species